CAAAUCUUGACAUCCUUUGACUGCUCUAGAGAUAGAGUCUUCCCCUUCGGGGGACAAAGUGACAGAUGGUGCAUGGUUGUCGUCAGCUCGUGUCGUGAGAUGUUGGGUUAAGUCCCGCAACGAGCGCAACCCUUAAGCUUAGUUGCCAUCAUUAAGUUGGGCACUCUAAGUUGACUGCCGGUGACAAACCGGAGGAAGGUGGGGAUGACGUCAAAUCAUCAUGCCCCUUAUGAUUUGGGCUACACACGUGCUACAAUGGACAAUACAAAGUGCAGCUAAACCGCGAGGUCAAGCAAAUCCCAUAAAGUUGUUCUCAGUUCGGAUUGUAGUCUGCAACUCGACUACAUGAAGCUGGAAUCGCUAGUAAUCGUAGAUCAGCAUGCUACGGUGAAUACGUUCCCGGGCCUUGUACACACCGA
rnacentral:rRNA from 1 species